rnacentral:lncRNA from 1 species
AAAAGUCUAAUGGCGUUAACAUCAACAAAACCGUCAAUGUUAGGGAACAAAGCUAAUCCAUAGAUGAGAAACACAAAGAUAGCUUCAAAAGCGUCCACACUACCAGCUUGAGCAAAAGUAGUAGCUAACAAAACCGUCAAUGUUAGGGAACAAAGCUAAUCCAUAGAUGAGAAACACAAAGAUAGCUUCAAAAGCGUCCACACUACCAGCUUGAGCAAAAGUAGUAGCUUCCUUGAUGAGGAAAACAGAUGGCAAC